rnacentral:pre_miRNA from 1 species
AGAGGAAUUGCCCAGGAAUCUUGUUAAAAGGCAGAUUCUGAUUCAGUAGGUCUGGAAUGGGGCCAAGAUUCUGCAUUUCUAACAAGCUCCCAGGUGAUUAGAAC